UAGGGAAUCUUCCGCAAUGGACGCAAGUCUGACGGAGCAACGCCGCGUGAGUGAAGAAGGAUUUCGGUUCGUAAAACUCUGUUGUUAGAUAAGAACAGCGCAUAGAGUAACUGUUAUGCUUGUGACGGUAUCUAACCAGAAAGCCACGGCUAACUACGUGCCAGCAGCCGCGGUAAUACGUAGGUGGCAAGCGUUGUCCGGAUUUAUUGGGCGUAAAGCGAGCGCAGGCGGUCAAUUAAGUCUGAUGUGAAAGCCCCCGGCUCAACCGGGGAGGGUCAUUGGAAACUGGUUGACUUGAGUGCAGAAGAGGAGAGUGGAAUUCCAUGUGUAGCGGUGAAAUGCGUAGAUAUAUGGAGGAACACCAGUAGCGAAGGCGACUCUCUGGUCUGUAACUGACGCUGAGGCUCGAAAGCGUGGGUAGCAAACAGG
rnacentral:rRNA from 1 species